CCCACUCGCCUACCCACCUCCCCGGGCUGCAGCGGCAGUGCAAGCCGAGCCCGCGGGCAGAAAAUAAUGCAGGCGCUGCAGAAGAGCCGAGGGAAGAGGAGGGGAGAAAGGGAGAGGGGGUGGGGAGCCGAGAGCGGAGAAGACAGAAGAGAACGGAGCGGGUCUCGGAGAACCCACACUGGCGGCGGCUGGAGCGCGGGACCGGGAGGACACAUGGAGCUAUUUCACCUUCUUAAAUAAAGGGGAAGGAACAAAAGACAGGAACAAUGACGUACAUGUGAAGAAAUGACAGAUGAACAUGGAUUAAGUGCCAACCUUGAUGAUUUACACAAGGCCAAAGCAACUCAAGGAAGAGUGAGACCCCUGGAAUCUUUCAUGGAGUUUUGAGCCACUGUUUCACAAGGCAGGCAAGUCCAUCUUUGGAUUGAAGAAUCAAAUCUACUCCAUUUUGUAAGGUUCCAGGAAAAGAGCCUUUGGAAAUCCCCUGACCUCACCCUACCACCUUCGAACCAAUCAGAACCCUUGGCCAGCCCAGGAAAUUCGAGUCAAGCCCGGGAAAGGAGAACCAAUCAGAACUCAACACCUAACCCUUCACCAGAAGGUGACCAAUCAGACCCGGAGACUCCCGUUUUUUGAAAUUUUCACGCGAUAAUACCCUAUAUAAGCAAUGUAACCCCUAUAGCUGCUGCGUCAGUAUCGG